GUACUCACUUCAGCAGUACAUGUACUGAAGUUGGAGCAAUACAGGGAAGAUUACCAUGGCCUCUGAGCAAGACCUGAGAAUUAGUGAGGCAUGCUGUAUUAAA